rnacentral:rRNA from 1 species
AACGAACGCUGGCGGCAGGCCUAACACAUGCAAGUCGAACGCCGUAGCAAUACGGAGUGGCAGACGGGUGAGUAACACGUGGGAACGUACCCUUCGGUUCGGAAUAACUCAGGGAAACUUGAGCUAAUACCGGAUACGUCCGAGAGGAGAAAGAUUUAUCGCCGAGGGAUCGGCCCGCGUCUGAUUAGCUUGUUGGUGAGGUAACGGCUCACCAAGGCGACGAUCAGUAGCUGGUCUGAGAGGAUGAUCAGCCACAUUGGGGACUGAGACACGGCCCAAAACUCCUACGGGAGGCAGCAGUGGGGAAUAUUGGACAAUGGGCGCAAGCCUGAUCCAGCCAUGCCGCGUGAGUGAUGAAGG